UUCUAUGGACACUUUUGCAUUUAAGGGCUAUCUAUUCUUGCGUUUCACCAUCUUGCUAGAUGUUACUCUUAAAACUGUAGAUGACCGACUAAUAAUUUCCGUGGAGCAUUUAUCAUUAAUUGUGUCGUUAGUGCCAUAAUUAAGUGCAACAAUCUAGCAUAGUGUUUCUAUUUCUUGCUUCAAUAAUUUGCCUAGCGUGUUGAAAAUCAUUGGAAGCAAAGUGUUUGUUGGCCAACCAUGAAUCUACCAAUUUCUAACUACCAGUUUCUAGAAUUGUUGGUGCCGGUACGCAAUAUUACAUUGAGAACCCAGUGUCUGUAUUGAUGUCCAGAUCAUCUUGGAAUGUGUGAAUUUGUAGGGAUAAUUUGAUAUAAAGCAUGCAAUUUUUCCAUAGGUUUUAAGUCUUUUUCCUCAUUUUAUAGAAGUUCCAAUCACUCUCGUUUAUCCUUCCUGGAGUUUUAUAUUUCAUGUUUUGAGUUAUCAACUUCAAUCAUAUGUACUCUUAAGCUUUUCUAUAAUAUGCUUGGUGCAGAUUGGAUUCCUUAUGAUUGACGAAGUUGGAUGAGCAAAUGAAGUGUUUGAGUAGAUGAAGCUUCAGCUGAAAGUUGCUCUUGCUUUUCUCAUUAGCUUAAUCUGGAUCCAGCAAGGUUUUUCUGAUGAACUUUCAGCUAAAUCAGGCAUCAACAAAUGGACAUGUACAUGUUCAGCAUCAUAUCAAGGAAAUCAGAGCUAUAUUAAAUCUAAUUGUUCUACAUCCUGUGAUUGCAGUCCGGAUGGUGGACAAAGUGGAGGUAUGUGGACAUGUACAUGUUCUUCCGAUGGGUUACCAAAAGUUGCAACUGGCAUUCAAGAUACUACCUGUUUUACAGCCUGCAACUGCACUUCUGGUUCUCUUACUGAUGUUCAAGAUACAAGAAAACAUUUUUCCAGCAAGAUAGUUUUGGUCAUCCUACUAUUAUGUGUCAUACUCACAACUCUUGCAUUUCUUGCUUCAAUAACAUGCUAUCUCUACCGAAAGGACAAGUGCCUUGUCCAGUCACCAGUAUUCUUGUCAGACAGGGAAAGGAGUUGCAAUAGUGCUACUAACUUAAUUAGUCACAGAGCAUCUUCAGUGUCAGAAACUAAAAUCAGGGUUGAUUCCCCCAUUAAUCCUAUAUCAGGGUGUUUUCGCAAGGCUUCUUUCUUGUGUAGGAGCAAAACAGAGAUUAUACAAGGAAAUUUAAUCCUUUUCACGUACUCUGAGCUGGAACAUGCAACCAAUAAGUUCUCCCAUUCUAAUCUAAUUGGACUUGGAGGAAGUAGUUAUGUAUAUCAUGGUCAGCUCAAGGAUGGUAGGACUGUGGCAGUUAAGCGGCUGAAAGCUCAAGGUGGUCCUGAUGCAGACUUCCUUUUUUCAACAGAGGUUGAGCUGUUAGCGAAGCUCCAUCACUGUCAUGUUGUGCCUUUGCUUGGCUACUGCUCGAAGUUCCAAGGGAAAUUUUCUGAGAGGUUGCUGGUAUUUGAAUACAUGCCUAAUGGUAACCUGAGGGACUGUCUGGAUGGGGUUUUAGGGGAAAAAAUGAACUGGCAAACUCGUGUUACUAUUGCAAUAGGAGCUGCAAGGGGUUUAGAAUAUCUUCAUGAAUCAGCUGCUCCAAGAAUUUUGCACAGAGAUGUCAAAUCAACCAAUAUUCUUAUGGAUGAAAACUGGAGGGCAAAAAUUACUGAUCUUGGUAUGGCUAAACGUUUAAGAGGUGAUGGAGUUCCCAGCAGUCCCAGUUCUCCUGCAAGAAUGCAGGGCACAUUUGGCUAUUUCGCACCAGAGUAUGCAAUGAUUGGAAGAGCCUCUCCUAUGUCAGAUGUUUUCAGUUUUGGGGUAGUUCUUCUUGAACUUAUCACUGGUCGGCAACCAAUCCAUAAAUCAACCAACAAAGGAGAAGAAAGCCUUGUCUUAUGGGCUACUCCUCUUCUCCAGGAUAGUGGGCUAGUAUUACUAGAGUUGCCUGAUCCACGCUUGAAAGGGAAUUUCCCAGAAGAAGAGUUGCAAAUAAUGGCUUACCUGGCAAAGGAGUGCCUGCUGUUGGAUCCUGAUGCUCGACCAAGCAUGGGUGAGGUGGUACAAAUCCUCUCAACUAUAGCACCAGAAAAAUCCAAAAGGAGAAACAUUCCUGUGAAUCUUUUUCAGAUGUCUUCAAUCCAGAGAAUGAAAACUGAGCUAUUCAAAGAAAAACCCGACAGUCGAGCUGAAGGUCCUGUUGAUGCAGAGGAGGUACUGAAGCCAGACAGGUCAAUUCAACAGUCAGCUUUAGAUGUAGAACACGACCAUUUUGUUGGAAGCAACAAUGUAGGGGCAGAUAAUAAUUCAAUCAAGUAUAUGGAGAGGUUAAUCCUUUUGACUUCAAAAGCUCAAAGUUUGCGUUCCUCGGAUGAUGAGGCUGUGGACUUAACUGAGCCUCGGCUAGAAUCAUUCUGCAUGGCUAAUGUUAAAUCUCCAUGAAAAAGCUGCUCCCUAUGAAGGCAAAAAAUAUUUUUUUCAGUUGAAGGAGUGACCUGAAGAAAGGAUGUUGCAUAAUGUUCUACCAAUUAAUAUCUACCAUCUAACUUCUACAAAGAGAGGAUACCAGUUAAUACCUCAGUAGUUGAAGUAUUGUCCGUCGUCUUAACUCACCAAUGGAUCCUCCUCCACCACCACCACCACCACCAUCUACUGUUCCACUGCUUGGUCCACCACACCAUGAAGGAGGAUGCUUGGAUUCAUGUUUAUGGUUUCUGUGCUGCUGCGGCCUUUUCUCAUGCUGCUGCCCUCCACUGUUUGAGCCUGUGCCACCUCCCCCCUAAAGCUGCAUUUCUUUAGUUAUAUUUGGUUCUUGAGAAGAAACUAGAAAACAUAGUUCAUUGACACUUUAUCUUCUGAUUUUUGGCCCAAAACUGCUGUGAUAACUUUAUUUUCUUUUGUAUCGCUUUUUUUUUUUUUUUGGUUUUAUGUGAUUCUCUGGCUGUGUUUAGCUGAUGAAUGUUGAGUUGCAACUCUGCCUGUAACAUAGCUUCUCCAAUUUGUGCUUUUUAGAGUUGGUGUGAAUAAUAUUUAUUGAGUUAAUUAUAACUUAGUCCAUAUAAUCUAUGGAGACUAA